GACGAACGCUGGCGGCGUGCUUAACACAUGCAAGUCGAACGGAAAGGCCCUGCUUUUUUGGUGUGCUCGAGUGGCGAACGGGUGAGUAACACGUGAGUAACCUGCCCUUGACUGUGGGAUAACUUCAGGAAACUGGGGCUAAUACCGGCUCGGAGCUCCUGCUGCAUGGUGGGGGUUGGAAUGUUUCGGCGGGUGGGGAUGGACUCGCGGCUUAUCAGCGUGCUGGUGGGGUAGUGCUUUACCCCGGCUUUGCCGGAUAUCCGGCCUGUGAGGGUGAACGGCCACAAUGGGACUGAGAGACGGAGCAGACGCGUACAGGAGGCAGCGGGGGGGAAUAUUACACAAUGGGCGGAAGCCUGAUGCAGCAACGCCGCGUGCGGGAUGACGGCCUUCGGGUUGUAAACCGAUUUCGCCUGUGACGAAGCGUCAGUGACGGUAAUGGGUGAAGAAGCACCGGCUAACUACGUG
rnacentral:rRNA from 1 species